rnacentral:rRNA from 1 species
GGUUUUGGAUGGACUCGCGGCCUAUCAGCUUGUUGGUGAGGUAAUGGCUCACCAAGGCGACGACGGGUAGCCGGCCUGAGAGGGUGACCGGCCACACUGGGACUGAGACACGGCCCAGACUCCUACGGGAGGCAGCAGUGGGGAAUAUUGCACAAUGGGCGCAAGCCUGAUGCAGCGACGCCGCGUGAGGGAUGACGGCCUUCGGGUUGUAAACCUCUUUCAGUAGGGAAGAAGCGAAAGUGACGGUACCUGCAGAAGAAGCGCCGGCUAACUACGUGCCAGCAGCCGCGGUAAUACGUAGGGCGCAAGCGUUAUCCGGAAUUAUUGGGCGUAAAGAGCUCGUAGGCGGUUUGUCGCGUCUGCCGUGAAAGUCCGGGGCUCAACUCCGGAUCUGCGGUGGGUACGGGCAGACUAGAGUGAUGUAGGGGAGACUGGAAUUCCUGGUGUAGCGGUGAAAUGCGCAGAUAUCAGGAGGAACACCGAUGGCGAAGGCAGGUCUCUGGGCAUUAACUGACGCUGAGGAGCGAAAGCAUGGGGAGCGAACAGGAUUAGAUACCCUGGUAGUCCAUGCCGUAAACGUUGGGCACUAGGUGUGGGGGACAUUCCACGUUUUCCGCGCCGUAGC